rnacentral:lncRNA from 1 species
CCUUCUUCUGCAAAUAAAGAAAAGAAAGAAAUAACAAAAAUCAAAGAAAACUUUUUCCUCUCGGUGGAACAUAAAAUACUAUUUUUCUUUUUCUUUUCUUCCCCAAAACAGAGCUUCCUCUGUUUUUCUUUCUCUCUUCUCUCCCAAACCGAUGGCCUCUUCCCCUCUAUUCUUUGGCUCCACCACCCAGCUCUCUUCUCCCUCUCGUUCUCCCCUUCUUAUAGAUCACCAGAGCAUGGAGAGGAGGAGAAACGGGCGCGGGAUCUCGGGAGGUGGAUCCGGAUGAAGAGUGCCGCGGGUCUUCAUUAUUUGGUGAAGUACGGAUGUGGUGGAGCUGGGAUUGGAUCACGGCUGCGUCGUGGGUGGAAGCAGAGGCGGAGGAGCUGCAGACGGAGAAGGAAAUGGCUGGAUCACGGCUGGGAUGCUGGGAUUUCGAAUCCGGCUCGGACGCGAUGCUGGGAGGAUGCGGAAUCCGCUGCUGUGGCCGAAAGGGUAGAGGAGAUGGGGAUGCUGCUUGGAUCAUGGCUGCGUCGUGGACAAUGGGCGGCUUGAUCACAGCAUGGGAUCACGGAGAAGGUGGGCAAGGGGCUGCAGACGGACGCCUGGGAUGGAUGCGGAAGAGAUGAAGGCAUGCGGGAUCGCCGGGAGGAAUGCUUCACGGAUGGAAGAAGAUGGAUCUUCUUCUUUGGCCCACGGACGGAUGCAGGGAUCCAUGAUGAACGCGGACGGGCGCUGGAGGAGACGGAUACAGAAGAAAUGGAUCACGGGCUCGCUGGGCGGAUUGCGGAGGAGGGGGUCGGUGAUUCAUGGAUUUCCUUCUUUGGAUCAUGGAACGAUGGGAGCGUGGAGAUGGGAGGCGAGACGGGCUGAUCCUGGAAAUCCGGAAUGGGCGCACGGCUGAGGAGCUGGGACGAGCGGCCGUGGGAGGCUUGGAUCACGGGAGAGGGGCUGGCUUCACAGCUCGUUGCGGACGGCUGGAGACGCACGGUGGAUCACGGUGGAUGUGGAAGGAGCUGGGAAUCCGGAAGAGGGGAGAACAUGGAUCCAGUGGAUGGGAAGGGUGAUUCACGGAUCACAGGAUGAAAGGAGAUGCGGGCUGAGGAGGAGGCUGCUGUGAAUCCGAUCACGAUUUCAAGCUAAAAAGAUGGACGACUGCGAUGAUGGCAUGAUCUGUGGGAUGCUAGGAGGACUCGUUGAAGAUGCGG